rnacentral:rRNA from 1 species
AGAGUUUGAUCCNGGCUAGGANAACGCUAGCGGCAGGCCUAACACUGCAAGUCGAGGGUAAAGGAGUAGCUGCUACNCCUGACGACGGCGCACGGGUGCGUAACGCGUAACAAUCUACCNNNCCUGAGGGAAGCCCAGAGAAANNCGGANAAUACCUCAUGGUAUCUAUUAUCGCAUGGUAAAANGAUUAAAGGUUACGGCAAAAGAUGAGUAUGCGUCCUAUUAGCUAGAUGGUGUGGUAACGGCACACCAUGGCAACGAUAGGUAGGGGCCCNGAGAGGGGGAUCCUCCACACUGGUACUGAGACACGGACCAGACUCCUACGGGAGGCAGCAGUGAGGAAUAUUGGACAAUGGAGGCAACUCUGAUCCAGCCAUGCCGCGUGCAGGAAGACUGCCCCUAUGGGUUUGUAAAACUGCUUUUAUACGGGAAAGAAAACCCCACCCUACGUGUAGGUGGGCUUGNACGGUACCCGUAAAGNAAUAAGGGAUCGGCUAACUUCCGUGCCCAGCAGCCCGCGGGUAAU